rnacentral:lncRNA from 1 species
UUUGAACUUUAAUGCUUGUAACUGUUUUGACAGGAGACACAUGGAAUACCGGCCCUCAAAGUUCAUGAAUCAUCAGACAAAGUUCAGCUGGAAUCUCAGUGAGUAUCAGAUCAGAUCUUUGUCUUGAGCUGAUGUGAAGGUGCUACAAAAAGGUCAAGAUGAAGAUUUCUCCCCUCUCUCUUCAGCUAAUGUUUUAACUUUACUCUCUGUGUGUGUGUGUGUGUGUGUGUAGAGGUGGUUCCAGCAGCUCCAGUGUCUCUGACAGCAGUUCAGACACUGACAGUGAAAAGAGCAGCAGCCCAGAUGAACCAGCAGCUCCUGAGACAUUACACACACAGCCACAGAAAGAGAGUGACUGGCAGCUAGGACGGUGGUUAGAAAGGAAAGGAAACCAGCACCAGCAGAACCCUAGGAGCCCAUGUGAUGCCAUCAGGCCCAACUCCCAUGAUUCCUCUGACAGGACUGAGGCUCCAGGGUCACAGACUUGCCACAGUGACCCAGCUGACGGCGGCAAAGCGUCCGAUCUCAGACAGACUGUGGGGAGCACGAGCAUGUGUGAGGAUCUGCUGUUAGAAAGCACAUCCACACACAGACCCAAACACAAGAGAAGGAAAACGGCACAUCACACAGAGCAGAAGAGAACGACAGCAGACACCAACAACAUCAGCAAACAAACACAUUCGCCACUGCUGGUGAAGAUCAAGCUGAAGCUGCUCUCCAGGAUCCCACGGGAGCCCAAAGCAGCUCCGCCUCACACAGAGAACAGCAGAGCAUCGAGACGCAAGAGAGCGGUGAGCACAGCUAACACCUGACCCCUGACCCCUGACUCACUACUGCUGCAGAGUAACGAAGAGCUGCCAUCGAACAUUCCAGAAUCACGUUCACUCAUUUUAUUGUAUGUGA